rnacentral:rRNA from 1 species
UACAGAGGUCCCAAGCGUUGUUCGGAUUCACUGGGCGUAAAGGGAGCGUAGGCGGCGUGGUAAGUCAGAUGUGAAAUCCCGGGGCUCAACCCCGGAACUGCAUCCGAUACUGCCAUGCUAGAGGAUUGGAGAGGUAGCUGGAAUUCUUGGUGUAGCAGUGAAAUGCGUAGAGAUCAAGAGGAACACUCGUGGCGAAAGCGAGCUACUGGACAAUUCCUGACGCUGAGGCUCGAAGGCUAGGGUAGCGAAAGGG